rnacentral:lncRNA from 1 species
CGGUAUGGCUUAGAUGGAUCGGCACUCUUUUAAUGAAACUGUCAAUUCAAGAAAGCCAACCCGUCCAUGACGUUCCAUUUGGCUCAAGGAACCGGAAGUGAAAAGCUUCGGUUUUGUUCUUUUUUUUUCCACCGGCAGUGGUCUCGAUUUCCAGGAAGUAGUUCGAUCGUUACGUGUCCAAACAUCUGGCAUUCGGCUCUAGCCAUAGGCCGAAGGCCAAAUUAACCAGAAAACUUACAUUUUCUCUAGGAGGAGCCGCUAUAUAUGACAAAUGCCCA